rnacentral:lncRNA from 1 species
GAAAGAAAAAUCUGAAACCACCUCAAAUUUGUCUUAUAUAUAUAUAUAUAUUAACAAAUUUUUAAAAACCAUUUCCAGUAAAAAAAAUUGCCAAACACAUUUUUUAAGUUAAGAGUAGAAAACUAUUUUCAAGAUCAGUUUCUGAACAAAUCCUUAAAGUUUCCUUUAGCCUAGGAGUCUCACCUAGAGGAAAAUUGAUGAAUUAUCACCAUUGAAAAUUCAAGGCAUGCAAGAAAACUUAAUAUUAUUCCUCAUCAGUUUUGUUUUACAACAAUUAGCAUUAUUUAUAGGCUUUCAAAAAUCCUAAAAAUGGAAUAAAAGCAUAAACAUAGAAACUAAAUUGAUAUAGUAACUUAUUAGAACUCUUAAUUCCUUCUUCAAAUUAUUAAAUCUUCUAAAUAAAAAAAUUAUUAAAAAAAUAAAAACUUCUUUUUAAAUUUAGAAACUUAAUAUAUAAAUUUCUUGUAGUAAGAGUCUCUAAUAAAGAAGACUUUUAGAAUUUCUUUUAAGGAGAAAUUCCCAAUAAAAAAGUUUCACUAAAUGAAACUCAAAUACUAACUAAUAACUAAUUAUGAAUUUAGAGAACCAAAAAAACUGAAAAAUACCUAAAUGCUCUUGAUAGAGUAAUUUAGAAACUUUUUUAUUUCGUUCCAUUUCUUUCUUGAGUAGAUUUUGGAGAUUCGACUCCAUAAAUUUUUUUGGAACUGCUGGCUUAAUAUGCAUCCUACUCGAAUGAGGUACAUCACAUCUAUAGUGAUAGUCAUUAUAAAUCUACACAAAUGAAAUUUAUAAGGAAAAAGAAGUGUCUAUAAAUCCUUACAUGUAGAUUCACGUAAGGAAGAGAUAAAGAGAUAAAGCGGGAAAUAGUUAUAUCCAUGUAAUAAGUAUAAUUAGAAAAAAAAAAUUAAAGAAAGAGAAAACAUUAUGAGCUAAAUAGCGGUAUUCAAUGCAAUAAAAGUGUCUCUGACAUGGAUCUCACACCUGUACCAGUGUUGUUUCGUGUUAACAUGGGUAUUUCGGUUGAAAUUAACAUGUCCAUGUAUAACAAGUAUCUAUUAUGCGUUUUGUAAGGCAUGAUUAUUUUCUUCCUAAGUGUGAUUGCUUAUGAAGUUUGAAGUGUGGAGAAAGUAAGCUCAGGUGAAAAGGAUUCGGAAACUCAGAACACAGAGGAUUUGUUGAAAUAUCGCCCAAACCCAGACAUGCUGAUUAGCAAGACAGAUAUGACUUUUGAGGCAAAUAGAGAUUAUUGUUCUAUCUUGGAGGAGACUGAUCUGUGCUAAUGAAGAAAUAGAGAGAAAGAAGAAACAAUCUCCAUCUAUGACAAGGGAAAACAAGAUGAAGGAAGGUCCAAGGGGUGGAAGAAGAUGGCUUGUUGUGGAGUCUAAAUCUUUUGAGCUUUUGAUUGAUGAUGUAGGAGGAAAGUCGACAGGUGCAUUUGGGAGAGAUGCAGAGGACUAACCUCUUGGAUCAGAUUUGGGGAUGCAAGCCUUAGUUGUUUGUUGGUUGGAGUUGAGACUUGCUGUAGAGGUAGUGAUGAUAGAAGCUGGUCCCUUGUUUGGGAGGAGGAGGGAAGGAAGUAUAGUUUGGAGCGUCGUUCAAAUGAGGUGGGAAGAUUUAUCCUUUGCUUAGUUUGUGAUAUAGAGGCAAAACGCUUUUGCCUAAUUUUUCCAGAAGGGAAGGGGUUGUUUGGUGGUUGGAAUAUUUUGGCAGAGAAGUUGAGAGGGGUUGGGGUAGUUCCCACUGGAGGUUUAAAGGAUCCUCUUUCCAUUGAGGUGCUUAUGAAGGAAAAAGAACUAAUACCAAGGACCUAUGCGGAUGUUGCAAAAUAAAAAACGGGUAGGUUAGGAGAUAAGGUCUGGUUGGAGUUGGGAAGGAGGAAGAUGCAUGGAAGACUAGAGCAGUUGGAUCGCUGUUUAGUGGGUAGAUGGGAAAAUGUUUUGAUCCCUUCCCCUGAGUUGGAUUUUCUGAAAAAUUGGGUUGUUCAAGCUUGGCUCCUCAAAGGGAGGUUGAACAUAGUUGUGUUGGGAAGAGGACUCUUGCUUUUUGAGUUUUAGUUGUUAAGUGAGGCCGAGCGUGUUCUUGCUAGAGAGAAGAGAAGGGUGAAAGACAAUGUCUUAUUUAUGGAAAAAUGGUACCCGGAGGUGGGGUGCUUUUGUACUGGAACCAACGUAAACGAGGCUUGGGUGAGAGUGUUGGGUCUUCCUCUUCACUUUUGGAGCCGCUAGGUGUUUAAAUUGAUAGGUGAUGGUUGUGGUGGUUUCAUAGCAGUGGACGAAAACACAGAUUCUAUGGCAAGUUGCAAUGGGCUAGAAUUUUGGUGAAGGUGGUUGGUAGGGACUUACCUACCUCUGUUCAGAUUGGGGUUGGGGCAAGGUGUUUCUUAGUCCAUUUGUGGUGGGAAUCCCUGCCUUGGUUCUCUCAAGUGGUGCUGGAGGGAAGUAUUCUUAGGGAGGGGGUUCCAGUGGAUGAAGAAGAAGCAGGGGGAAGACCACGUGUCGCGUGUAGUGGAAGAGUGUUGGAGAAGGAGGUGCAGUCCAAGGUGCAGACUUAAGUACAAGUUGUGCCGCCUUGUGGAAGUUCUUCAAAAAGUGCUACAGGCUUUUCCUCUGACUACUCUGCAGGGGGGUCUAGUCCUGAGGUAAUUGAUGGAGAAGAAAGCCUAAGGAAUAGGGGUCAAGGUGCAAGGGGUGUAGCCAAAGUGGGUGGCCAUGGUUUUGGGCCUGAUCUUUGGGAGGCCCAGAAUAGAAGUGGGCUAGGGGAGGGUUUUCAUGAGACUGCUCUAGUGGAGGCCCCGCUGCAAGGUAUGGAUAGCGAUCCAAGGCCCAUCUUGUUAAAAGAAUGGGUGGUGGGUUGUGAAGAGAGGCCCUUUUUCCUGAAGGGUUCUUUAGUGGGCUGCGAGGGGUUCUCCGAAAUGGGCUUCGGGCUUGGAGUAGGGGGCUUAAAAGGAGAUAGGGCUCUUUUCUCUUCGGCGGUGGCAGAGAUGGGCUUCAGAGGAGGAUUUGCAUGCUCAAGUUAGAGGAUAAGGGGCUCGCUUGCUUUCUCGGAGGGGCUAUGAGGGAAUCAGAGUCUCUUACGAUGAACGCUAGAGCGAAGAUCAUUGAUGAAGCGUUGGCAGUUGAGGCAUCUAGGUACGAUUCCUUUCCCGCUGUCUUUGGGGGGGAUCGGGACUUCUUCUCUUCUUCUCCUUCCUCUGGGUUUGAUCGGGCUUUGGUGGUGGGGGAUUUUUCUAGCUCGGGAGGGGUAGACACCGUUGAAGGAGUCGGUUUUCAGGCUCCGUUGUGUGUUGUGUUGACUGAUGGAAGUCCGUGGGUGAUGGAAACAUAAGGGGGAAAGUCUUUGGCUGAGAUUAGAGUAAGAGAAGAAGUUGAUGAGCCCGAGUUUGAUGAGGCACGACAGAAAAGGGAGGUUUCUGGCAGUAGUUGGGAUGAUAGUAGUUUGACAAAGUUUAGCAAAUCUUUGGGGUUUACAACAGAAGGUGUUGAAGGGGAAAUCUUAAAAUUGCUUCUAAGAUUGAAAAACAGAAGAGACCAAGGUAAGAAUAGGGGAACUUUAGGGACGACUAGGUUUGAUCGAGAAGUAAAAAAGUUAGAAUGUUCGAUUAAUUAUGACGGAGNNNNNNNNNNNNNNNNNNNNNNNNNNNNNNNNNNNNNNNNNNNNNNNNNNNNNNNNNNNNNNNNNNNNNNNNNNNNNNNNNNNNNNNNNNNNNNNNNNNNNNNNNNNNNNNNNNNNNNNNNNNNNNNNNNNNNNNNNNNNNNNNNNNNNNNNNNNNNNNNNNNNNNNNNNNNNNNNNNNNNNNNNNNNNNNNNNNNNNNNNNNNNNNNNNNNNNNNNNNNNNNNNNNNNNNNNNNNNNNNNNNNNNNNNNNNNNNNNNNNNNNNNNNNNNNNNNNNNNNNNNNNNNNNNNNNNNNNNNNNNNNNNNNNNNNNNNNNNNNNNNNNNNNNNNNNNNNNNNNNNNNNNNNNNNNNNNNNNNNNNNNNNNNNNNNNNNNNNNNNNNNNNNNNNNNNNNNNNNNNNNNNNNNNNNNNNNNNNNNNNNNNNNNNNNNNNNNNNNNNNNNNNNNNNNNNNNNNNNNNNNNNNNNNNNNNNNNNNNNNNNNNNNNNNNNNNNNNNNNNNNNNNNNNNNNNNNNNNNNNNNNNNNNNNNNNNNNNNNNNNNNNNNNNNNNNNNNNNNNNNNNNNNNNNNNNNNNNNNNNNNNNNNNNNNNNNNNNNNNNNNNNNNNNNNNNNNNNNNNNNNNNNNNNNNNNNNNNNNNNNNNNNNNNNNNNNNNNNNNNNNNNNNNNNNNNNNNNNNNNNNNNNNNNNNNNNNNNNNNNNNNNNNNNNNNNNNNNNNNNNNNNNNNNNNNNNNNNNNNNNNNNNNNNNNNNNNNNNNNNNNNNNNNNNNNNNNNNNNNNNNNNNNNNNNNNNNNNNNNNNNNNNNNNNNNNNNNNNNNNNNNNNNNNNNNNNNNNNNNNNNNNNNNNNNNNNNNNNNNNNNNNNNNNNNNNNNNNNNNNNNNNNNNNNNNNNNNNNNNNNNNNNNNNNNNNNNNNNNNNNNNNNNNNNNNNNNNNNNNNNNNNNNNNNNNNNNNNNNNNNNNNNNNNNNNNNNNNNNNNNNNNNNNNNNNNNNNNNNNNNNNNNNNNNNNNNNNNNNNNNNNNNNNNNNNNNNNNNNNNNNNNNNNNNNNNNNNNNNNNNNNNNNNNNNNNNNNNNNNNNNNNNNNNNNNNNNNNNNNNNNNNNNNNNNNNNNNNNNNNNNNNNNNNNNNNNNNNNNNNNNNNNNNNNNNNNNNNNNNNNNNNNNNNNNNNNNNNNNNNNNNNNNNNNNNNNNNAGGAGGGUGUCUCCGUCAAUGAGAAGAUUCUCGGAGGUGAUCGAUAAUCUGGAUUGAGGGAUCUCCCUCUUCAGGGGGGCCCGUUUACUUGGAGUGGUUGGUUGAACAACCAAGCCAUGUCAAGAUUGGAUUAGUUUUUGGUGUAGGAGGACUGGGAGGGCCAUUUUAGUGGGGUGGUGCAAUGUACUCUUCCUAGACUAGUGUCUAAUCACUUUCUCAUCCUGUUGGAUGGGGGAGGGGUGAGGAGGGGGCCAACCCCUUUUCGGUUUGAAAAUAUGUGGUUGAAGGAGGAGGGUUUUUAAGGAUCUACGGAAGGGAUGGUGGCAAGGUUUAAGUUUUAGUGGAUCCUCUAGCUUCAUCCUUGCAGAGAAAUUAAAGGCUCUGAAGGCUAUUUUAAAAAUUUGGAAUGAGGAUGUUUUUGGGAAGGCGGAGGUGAAUAAGAGAUUGGCCUUGGACAAAGUGGCUCUCUAGGAUGCUCAGGAGAAGUUGCGUUCUUUAUCUUUGGAGGAGCUGGAAGCUAGAAAUGAAGCAAAGGGGGAUUAUAAGAAAUGGGCUCUUAUGGAGGAGAUUUCUUAGAGACAAAAAUCAAGAGAAGCAUGGUUGAGGGAGGCUUAUAGAAAUACGAGCUUCUUUCAUAGGAUGGCCAACUCCCAUAGAAGGAGAAAUUGUUUGUCUAAGAUUAAAAUAAAUGGAACGUGGUUAAUAGAAGAGCAGGAUAUUAAGGGGGGUGUGGUCAGUGCUUUCAAGGACCUUUUGACAAAUCAUGGUGAUUGGCAUCCAACUUUGGAAGGUUUGAAAUUUGAUAGAAUUGACGUUGAGGAAGCAGCUAUAUUGGAGGAGGUAUUUACAGAGGAAGAGGUUUUUUCCGUUCUCUCAGAUUUGAACGGGGAUAAGGCUCUUGGUCCAGAUGGAUUCUCUCUAAGUUUCUGGCAGUUCAACUGGGAUUUUGUGAACGAAGAGGUUAUGGGUUUUUUGAAAGAGUUCCAUGAGCAUUGUAGAUUUGUAAGGAGUUUGAAUUCCACUUUCCUGGUUCUAAUCCCAAAAAACCCGGGCAUGGAGGACCUUAGAGAUUUCAGAAUGAUUAGUUUGGUGGGAGGCUUGUAUAAAUUGUUGGCAAAAGUGCUAGCUAAUAGGCUUAAGAAGGUAGUGGGAAAGGUGGUGUCUUCAGCUCAAAACGCUUUCGUUGAAGGAAGACAAAUUCUUGAUGCUGCCUUAAUUGCCAAUGAGGCAAUAGACUCUUUGUUGAAACGAAAUGAGAGUGGGGUGUUGUGCAAGUUGGAUAUAGCGAAGGCAUAUGAUCACUUAAACUGGAAUUUUUUGUUGUUUGUGAUGCAAAGAAUGGGUUUUGGAGAGAAGUGGAUUGGUUGGAUUUCCUGGUGCAUUUUCACAGCAACGUCUUUUGUUUUGAUCAAUGGCACCCCGGCGGGAUUCUUCAAUAGUUCAAGGGGGCUACGUUAGGGGGAUCCACUUUCUCCCUACUUAUUUGUGAUCGGGAUGGAGGCUCUUAGUAGGCUCAUCUUUAGAGCAGUGAGGGAGGGAGGGUAUCUUUCAGGCUGCAAGAUAAAGGAAAGAAGUGGUGAUGAGGUUUUGGUCUCUCAUUUGUUGUUCGCUGAUGAUACAUUAGUCUUUUGUGAAGCUUCCCAAGAUCAGAUGGCUUACUUAAGCUGGUUGUUGAUGUGGUUUGAAGCCAUCUCAGGUUUGAGAAUCAACUUGGAUAAGAGUGAAAUUUUGCCGGUGGGGAGAGUAGAGAAUCUGGAGGUUUUGGCUCUUGAGGUUGGUUGUAAAGUGGGAAGGCUACCAACUUCUUACUUGGGGCUUCCUUUGGGUGCGCAUCAUAAGUCCGUGGUUGUUUGGGAUGGGGUGGAAGAGAGUUUUCGGAAAAGGCUUGCCAUGUGGAAAGGACAAUUUAUCUCUAAAGGAGGGAGAAUCACCUUAAUUCAAAGCACACUGUCUAAUAUGCCCAUCUAUUUGAUGCCCUUAUUGCGGAUCCCAAGAGUGGUUAGUUUAAGAUUGGAAAAGAUUUAAAGGGUUUUUUUGUGGGGAGGGGGUGCUUUGGAGAGGAAGUCUCAUCUAGUAAAUUGGGAUACCGUAUAUUUGGACAAAAAGAAGGGUGGUUUGGGAGUUAGACGACUUUCUACUCUCAAUAGGCCCUGUUAUGUAAGUGGAACUGGUGCUUUGCGAAUGAAAGAGAGACUCUUUGGAGGAAUGUCAUUAGUAGGAAGUUUGGGGAGGAAGAAGGGGGUUGGUAUACUAGAGAAGUUAGGGAGGGUAUUGGAGUAGGCUUAUGGAAGGAAAUAAGGAAGGAAGGGUCUCUUUUGCAAAACAAAGUUGUAUUUUCUGUGGGGGAUGGUAGAAAGGUGAAAUUUUGGAAAGAUAAUUGGUGUGGGAACUUCGCUCUUUGUAAUUCUUUUCCCUCUUUGUAUGCAUUUGCGUCUUAUAAAGAGGCUUGGUUAGUGGAGUUGUGGGACUCUUUGGGAGAGGAAGGGGUUUGGAGCCCUAGGUUCUCUAGGCCCUUCAAUGACUGGGAGGUGGAGGAGGUGGAGAGAUUACUUUUGACAAUCCGGGGAAGGAGGCUUAAUCCUCAUUUGGAAGAUAGAGUGCUGUGGAAAGAGACUAAGGAUGAGAUUUUCUCAAUUAAAUCUCUUUAUAGUGCUCUAGUUUCAAGAAGUGUUGUUCAGUUUCCUAAUAGCAUUAUUUGGAGUCCCUGUGUUUCUACCAAAGUUGGUUUUUUUGUUUGGGAAGCCUCUUGGGGUAAGGUGUUAACUUUGGAUCAACUUAAAAAGUGGGGGUGGAUUUUAGCUAAUAGAUGCUUCCUUUGUUGUGUGGAAGAAGAGUCUAUUGAUCAUAUUCUUAUUCAUUGCACUAAGGCAAAAGUUUUAUGGGAGUUAUUGUUUGCUCUUUUUGGAGGUACUUGGGUUCUUCCUCUUUCGGUUAGAGAUACCCUUCUUGGUUGCCGUGGUUUUAAUAUGGACAAGAAGCGUAGAAAUGUGUGGAAGGCAGCCCCUUUGUGUCUUUUUUGGGCGGUUUGGAAGGAAAGAAAUAUGAUUGCUUUUGAAAAUGAGGAGCUUUCGAUUCAUAGGUUGAAAAUUUCUUUUGUAUGUAAUCUUUGGUUUUGGACUAAGUUGGUUGUAAAUGAAGGUCCUCUUCCUUUAUUCAGUUUUUUUGAUUGGUUAGGUUCUAGAUGAGGGCUGGUGAUAUUUGUUUCCCCUCUUCUUUUGUUCGUGCCUUCUGGCACCUCUUGUGUACCCCCUGUAUGCUUUUGGGUUAGCCUUAAGGUACCCUUUUUCUAAUAUAUUUCUUUCUCUGUGUUUUUACUUAUAAAAAAAAAAGUGUGAUUGCCAAGGUUUUUUUUUUUUUUUUUGACUUUUUUUUUCUUUUCAUUUUUAACCCUUUCAUUUUGGUUUAUAAUUCAAGAUAUUUUUGUAGUGCUGAAAAUCUAAGUGCAUGUCUAGUAACCUUUUCGAAAAUGGUUUUCAAAAAGUAGUUUCCAAGAAUAGUUUUGAGAACAAUUUUCAAAAACAAUUCUUGUGAAUAGUUCUUAAAAACAAUUCUUAAUUAUUUUUAGGAACAAAAUUCUGUUUGUGAACUCAAAUAAGAAAAAUGGUUUUAUCCACUCAUUAUUCAUGAAGGUAUUAUGCACUUAUGUACAAUGCAAAAUUCCCAAAUUUCAAUUGUUUUUCAGAACGCUCUACCAAAAAAAACAAAACUGAAGACAGCACAUAAUUGUUCUAAAAAACAUGUUUUUAGAAUAAAUUCUCAAAAAACUAUUUUCUAUCAAAAAUUUGCCAAGCAUGGUUUUUGAGUUAAAAAUUCUAAAGACUACUGAGUUCCCAAACUGGCCUUAAGAUCCUAUGGCAUGUAUUUUUGUAAUCUUAGUUGAUAAUGUAUACAGGUGAGAAGGUGUAGAGAAGUCUAGUUAGACAAACCUAAACCUCUCUAAAAUUUCUCUUUCUCCUUUCUCCUCAUCUUUUUCCUAGCCUUAGUCCCAAUCUCACAAGUUUUACUUCUAACUCGAUAUCAAAGUACCAAUCAAUCCUAGACUUUAUUGUAAAUUGGAUAGAUCAUUUCUAAAAUAUAAUAACAAAAUAAAAAUAUUCUGAAAUUUCUGUGGUUGAACAGAUUGAUUUUUCUGUUAGUGGUAGUGCCAUUUGCCCAUUUAUUUGAGGCCAUUUAGUUGAACUUUUAUAUAUCUCUAUGAUUUUUAUGAAUUUCAAUCAUGUUUUUGUUCUGAAAUUUGAGGAGAAAUGAUCCCAUUGACAACAUGAUGAUAGACUAAUGAAUCCUUCGUUUAAGGUUAGGCAUCAUUUGCUUUACUCGUUGGAAUUAAGUUUUUCUAAGUUGGGGAGAAUGGUGGGUAACAAUAUUCAGCAGGAAUAAUUUAUUUUAUUAGAAGUGAUUUAGUAGUUUUUUUUGGGGUCAAUUUUCUCGUUGUUUUACUUUCUAAUUUGAUUUAAAAGGGAGUCAUGUUCCUACUUUAGUCUUACUAGGAAAAGAAGUUCCACGAGUCUAUAUAAACUUAUGUAAAUUUUAAUGAAUAGAACUUAUUAUGAAGAACUAGGUAGCUUCUUAAGGUGUGAUGACCUUCUCUAGGUAUGAUUGCCUAGGAAUCUUGGUGUGAUUGCCAAGAUCUAUUUUUGUCGUUUCAUUUUACUUAUGUAUGAUUGCUUAGGAAACUUUAGGUGUAAUUGCAUAGAAACCUUUGUGUGGUUGCCAUGGGUCUGUCUUUUCUUUUCUUUCUUUUUCUUGUAUCUUCUUAGAUCCAUCAUCUCAUUAUACAACAAAAGGAAUUUUUAAAUAGUGCUGGAUUUUUUUUAUGGUUCUGUAUCAAAGUUAUUUUUUUCUUCUAUUUUUGCAACUUUACAUUUUUCUUGCUCUUUUAGUCUUUUUCUGCUUUAGCUUUCAUUAUGCAUUGCUUUGUCAUCAAUUUUAGUUUUCUGCUCUAGUGUUUGUUCCUUGCUGUGAAGGAUUUUAAUAGCUUGUUUUUUUAGGUUUUUCUGAUCUUUCCUCACCUUGUAAAUCUUCCGCUGGAAAAGUUCCAAGCGAUACUUGUUCAUACACUUCAGGUAUUUUUCUUUCCAAGGUUCUCCUAGAUACCAUUGAUAUUCUCUAGUAUUUGGUGAUUGCUCUAAUCAUCUAAUCAGUAUAUUUGUGGGAGCAUUAUAGAUUACAUAUGCAGAUUGUGGCAUCUCUUAGAAUUGUCUAAGAAAGAGUGUAUUUCUUGACUCCGGUUUGAGUUAAACAGUGCAUAUUAGAAUGUAAACUUUCAGGCACUGAACAUUUGUAAUCUUGCAUUCCCAUUUUGAACUUCUAGCACUUGCAUUUGAUAUUACUAAUGCCAUGCCUUUCAUAUCUGUUGCUUUCCUGGUUUAUCUAUGUAAUUGUUUCAUCUAGAGCUUUGUCUCAAACUUUCCUUUCUUUUUAGCUGUCUUAAAUUCAUUUUAGCAAUUGACCUUUUUAUUCAUAACAUUAUAUUUAUCACAAACAGUUUAUUGGUUGCUAAAUGAAGCUGAAGUCCUCUGUUGAAAGGGCGAGGCUGGAGGAGCCUUUUUCUGAGCAGGAGGUUUCCAAGGCUCUUAAGGGCUUUAGUGGGGAUAAAGUGCUUGGGCCUGAUGGUUUUUCUAUGGCUUUUUGACAAUCCUCAUGGGGGUUUGUGAAGGAGGAGGUCAUGGGGUUUUUCAGGGAGUUUCAUGAUCACAAUUGUUUUAUCAGAAGAAUGCAACUUUCCUAGUCUUGAUCCCAAAAAAGGGGGUGUGGAAGAUUUAAGGGAUUUCAUGCCAAUUAGUUUGGUGGGAGGGCUGUACAAGUGGCUGGCUAAAGUGUUAGCCAAUGGGUUAAAGCUGGUAGUGGGUAAGGUGGUCUCCAAGGCCCAAAAUGCCUUUGUGGAGGGUAGACAAAUUCUGGAUGCUGCCCUUGUUGCUAAUGAAGUCAUAGAUUUGAUUUUGAAGAGUAAUGAGGGGGUGGUGUUGUGCAAGCUUGAUAUAGAAAAGGCGUAUGAUCAUGUAGAUUGGUCCUUGCUUUCAAUUAUGGAUAUGAUGGGUUUUGGGGAGAUAUGGCUCUGGUGAAUGCAGUGGUGCAUCUCUACAACGAGUUUUUCCGUUUUGGUUAACGAGACUUCCUCAGGAUUCUUCCAAAGUUCUAGAGGUUUAAGGCAGGGAGACCCACUCUCACUGUACUUAUUUGUGAUUGCCAUGGAGGCACUUAGCUGCAUUCUAAGGAGAGCUUUAAGUGGGGGUUUUUUGUCAGCUUGUAAGGUGAGGGUUAGAGGGGGUGAAGGGGCUCAUGUGUCCCACUUAUUAUUCGUCGAUGAUACUUUGGUUUUCUAUGGGGCUUCUCAAGAUUAGAUGAAGUAUUUAAGUUGGACUCUAAUGUGGUUUGAGGCCAUUUCGGGGUUGAGAAUUAAUUUGGAUAAAAGUGAGUUAACCCCAUGGGAUGUGUGGAAAAUGUGGAAGCUUUGGCUGCAGAACUUGGUUGUAAGGUUGAGAGUCUCCCCUCUUAUUUGGGAUUGCCUUUGGGAGCUCCUUUUAAGUCCAUGGUUGCAUGGGAUGGAGUGGAGGAGAGGUUUUGAAAGAGACUAGCAAUGUGGAAGAGACAAUACAUCUCUAAAGGAGGGAGGCUCACUUUGAUUUGGAGUACUUUGGCUAACUUGCCCAUUUAUUUCAUGUUUGAGCUUACUUUGCCUAGGACGGUCAAAUGGAGGUUGAAGCAAAUUCAAAGAGAUUUUUUGUGGGGAGGUGGGGCUCUUGAGCGGAAACCUCAUCUUGUAAGAUGGGCGCUUGUUUGCUUAGACAAAAGAAAAGGAGAUUUGGGGGUGAAGUGUCUUUCUUCUCUUAAUAAGGCACUUUUGUGAAAAUGGAGUUGGAGGUUUGCAAAUGAGAGAGGGGCCUUGUGGAAUCAAGUGAUUAGGGGAAAGUAUGGGAGGAACAAGGGGGUUGGUGCUCCAAGGAAGUGAGGGGUGGGUAUGGCGUGGGGUUGUGGAAAGCAAUUAGGAGGGAGUGGGAUGUUGUAAGUUGUAAACUCUCCUUUGUGGUGGGCAAUGGUUAGAGGGUGAGAUUUUGGAAGGAUAGAUGGUGUGGAGAUUCACCUUUUUGUGUUGCUUUUCCUACUUUGUUUGCUAUAGAUACGUUGAAGGACGCCGGGGUAAAAGAUGUGUGGAGUUUCAUUGAGGGAGGGGGGAGUUGGAGCCCGCAUUUUGCUAGACCCUUAAAUGAUUGGGAGAUGGAUGAGGCGGAUAGUUUUUUAUUGGGUCUUAAUGGGAAGAGUGUUUAGUGGGAUAUGUAAGAUAGAGUGCUUUGGAUAGAGACUAAAUGUGGGAAGUUCUCUGUUAAGUCUCUCUACAAAGCUCUAGAAUCUAACCCAUCGGCCUCUUUCCCAUCGAUUGUCAUUUGGAAUUCAUGUGUGCAGCCCAUGGGGAGGGGGGAGUUGGAGCCCGCAUUUCUUUAGACCCUUCAACGAUUGGGAGAUCGAUGAGGCGAAUAGUUUUUUGUUGGGUCUCAAUGGGAAGAGUGUUCAGUGGGAUGUGGAAGAUAGAGUGCUUUGGAUAGAGACUAAAUGUGGGAAGUUCUCUGUUAAAUCUCUCUCUACAAAGCCCUAGAAUCUAGCCCAUCAGCCUCUUCCCAUCGAUUGUCAUUUGGAAUUCAUGUGUGCAGCCCAAGUGAGUUUUUUUUGGGUGGGAAGCAACUUGGGGGAAGGCUCUUACUUUGGACCAGCUUCAGAAAAGAGGAUGGCCUCUAGCGAAUAGAUGCUACCUUUGCCAAAUGCAUGAGGAAUCGAUAGAUCACAUCCUCCUCCACUGUGCCAAGACAAGGACUAUUUGAGCGUUGUUUUUCACUGUCUUCGGGGUGCAGUGGCUGCUGCCAGCCUCUGUUAAAAUGACACUCUUGGGUUGGAACAGAUCUUUUGUGGGAGAAAAGAGAGAGGAAGUUUUGAGAGCAGACCUUUUAUGUAUUUUUUGGACUGUUUAGAAGGCAAGGAACAAAAUUUUGUUUGAAGAUGUUGUGCUAUCCAUUCAAAAACUUAAGAGUUCUUUUAUUUAUCUUCUUUGGUCGGAGACGAAAUUGUUCCUAAAAGAUGGUUCUUCGACUUUAGUUGGUUUCAUUGAUUGGAUAGGUUCUUGUCGAGGGUGGUCUUUUUUGGCCCCUCCGCUUUUGAAGGCUGUUUUUUGUCCCAGCCGGGGAGGGGGGUGCUCCUAUGCUGUAUCUUUUUGAGUCACUAUUUUAGCGUCUCUUUUCAAUACAAUUUCUUCUUUUUUACUUAUCAAAAAAAAAAUUUAUCAUAAACAGUUUAACUCAGUAUCUUAUUGUCAGUAACAGUGUAUAUGUUUCUGAGUUGACCAAAAUGUUUUUGUUGUUUACCUUGGGUCCUCUUCGUGUGUUUGAAUUCUUGCUUUGCUUAUUGAUGCACAUAUAUUUCGUUAUUUUUCUCCAGAGAAGUUAUUACCCAGUUUAAACAAUCUGUUUGUAAGGAACUCUCCAGAAGAGCCUUUACUCGAGAGGAACUGCCAACAGACACAUUUACUUCUGAAUUUAUUUAACAUUCAGUUUGCUUGUAGAAUGCAUAUGAAUAUCUAAGUUUCAUCUUGUAUUUCUUCAUUUUCUGAAUUCUGUUAAAACUUACCGGAAAUGUAUUUGAACAGGGUUCAUCUCAUUCUGGUCCAGUGCUCACUCCAGCUGAAGUUUUAAUUGCUAUCCAUGGGAUUGAUCCUGAUAGAGAUGGAAUUCCGCUGAAGAAGGCAUAUAUUCUUCCUUUCUUCCCAUCUUUUCCCCAAAGCUGACCAAGUAACACAGCUAACCAAUAUUAAUCUAUGGGCAGGUCACAGAUGCAUGCAAUACUUGUUUUGAGCAGCGGCAGAUAUUCACUCAACAGGUUCUUGCAAAGGUCUUGAAUCAAUUGGUUUGUAUCACUGGAAACUUAUAACUUUGUCAACAACACCUUUAACUACUACUUGAAUUCACAAAUGACCAAGAAUGUUCCCAUCAGGUUGAGCAGAUUCCUCUUCCCUUAUUAUUCAUGCGUACAGUACUACAAGCUAUAGGUGCUUUUCCUGCCCUGGUAAAAACUUUAAAACCUUCUACAUUAUGGCGCUUGGUAAUUGCAUGAUUUUAUUUAUAAAUGAUUUAUUUCAAUAUUACUGAUGCAUAUUGGUUGUUAGGUAAAUAAACAAAUAUUUUAGCAGCACAUACUGAAAGAAGAUUUCAGAUUUUAGACCUAUUAGCUUGAUCACUUGUCUCUAUAAGGUAAUAGCCAAAGUUCUAUCAGGGCGAUUAAGAGGAGUACUACACGAAACUAUCCACUCUACUCAAGGUGCUUUUGUUCAAGGGAGACAAAUUUUGGAUGCAGUUCUUAUAGCCAAUGAGAUAGUGGAUGAGAAAAGGUGAUCAGGGGAGGAAGGAGUUGUCUUCAAAAUUGACUUUGAAAAGGCUUAUGACCAUGUGAAUUGGGAUUUUUUGGAUCACAUGUUGGAGAAGAAGGGGUUUAGUCCUAAAUGGAGGAAUUGGAUGAGAGGUUGUUUGUCUUCGGUCUCUUAUGCUAUUUUAGUGAAUGGAAAUGACAAAGGGUGGGUCAAGGCAUCUAGAGGAUUAAGGCAAGGUGACCCUUUAUCCCCUUUUUUGUUCACUAUUGUCGCAGAUGUGUUGAGCAGAAUGAUGUUGAGAGCUGAGGAAAAAAGUAUGUUGAAGGGUUUCAAGGUAGGUAGAAAUAGAAUUAGGGUGUCCCAUUUGCAAUUCGUAGAUGAUACCAUCUUCUUUUCUAACUCUUAUGCGGAAGAGCUGCAAACUCUCAAGAGUUUAUUGUUAGUGUUUGUGCAAAUUUUUGGGCUUAAGGUCAAUCUUGACAAGAGUAAUCUUUUUGGCAUCAACCUUGAUCAUAAUCAUCUCUCUAGGUUAGCCUUGUUGCUUGAUUGCAAGGCUUCUGAUUGGCCUAUACUCUACCUGGGUCUUCUUUUGGGAGGGAAUCCAAUUGCUUGCGGAUUCUGGGAUCUAGUGAUUGAGAGAAUCUCAAGGAGAUUAGACGGGUGACAAAAAGGCUUACUUGUCUUUCGGUGGUAGGAUAACUCUUAUCCACUCUUGCCUUUCCCACAUUCCUAGCUAUUUUCUCUCUCUGUUUAAGAUUCCCGCUUCAGUGGUUGCAAAAAUUGAGAGAUUGCAAAGGGAUUUCCUUUGGUCAAGGGUUGGGGAAGGUAAGAGAGAUCAUCUUGUUAGUUGGGAUGCAGUGUGUAAGCCGAGGGUAAAAGGGGGUUUAGGGUUUGGGAAGAUUUCUUUAGGGAAUCUCGCUCUUUUAGGGAAGUGGUUGUGGAGGUAUCCUAGGGAGAGUACAACUUUGUGGCAUUAGGUCAUUCUAAGCAUUUAUGGGACACAUUCAAAUGGUUGGGAUGCCAACACUUUAGUCAGAUGGUCACAUCGUUGUCCUUGGAAGGCUAUUGCACAAGUAUACUCGGUUUGUGGUAGGAGAUGGGGAAAAAAUUUGCUUUUGGGAAGAUUUGUAGUGGGGGACUAGCCUUUGAAAUCCCAAUAUCCAAGACUAUUUAGAGUAGUCACGGAUAAAAAUAUUUCUAUAUCUUCAAUUCUCGGUUAUGUUCGCCUUUUCUCUUGGAACUUUAAUUUCCGUUGUAAUCUAUCCGAUUCCGAGAUCGAAGAUCUAGGCUGCCUCAUGCAAUCUCUUGAUUGUGCGCAUUUAUCCACUUCGGCUUCAGAUGCGAGAUCCUGGUCUUUAUCUUCUUCAGGAUUGUUUACAGUCAAGUCCUUCUUUAUAGCCUUGUCCGAAAUGCCCGAUUUAUCUCCACUUUUCUCUACUAAGUUUGUAUGGAAUUCUCAAAUCCCUUUCAAAGUCAAGUCCUUUGUCUGGUUAGUGGCACACAAGAAGGUAAAUACUAAUGACUUGCUACAAUUGAGAAGACCCUACAAAACUCUUAGUCCUGACAUUUGUAAGUUGUGCAUAAAGUAAGGAGAAUCAGCAGAUCAUCUUUUCCUACAUUGUUCUUCGUCAAUGGGGUUGUGACACAAAUUAUUUCAGUUAGCCAAGAUGGAUUGGGUUCCUCCGAGAAGCAUUUCAGACAUGAUGUCCAUCAAUUAUAAAGGUUUUGGCACUUCCAAGAGAGGGAUAGUUUUGUGGCAAAAUGCGUGCAUUACUUUAAUUUGGGUUGUGUGGCAGGAAAGAAAUGCUAAGAUAUUUGAGGAUAAAGUUAGGAAUUCAGAGAAUCUAUGGGAUUCCAUUCACUUCCUUGCUCCUCUUUGGGCUUUCUGUUCCGUGGUUUUUAAGGGCAUUCCCUUUAACGUGUUACAAAUAGAUUGGCUAGCAGUGUGUAGUUCCAAUGGGAUGGUCUAGCCAAAAGAGCUUGUUCGUAGUUUUCAUAGUGUAGUUUCUUGAUCUUUUAUUGUGUUAUUUAGUUUUAUCUUUGGUGGGAGGAUUCUUCAUCCUUCUUUUUCUAUCAUUAUAUAUAUUUGUUGUUUCCUAUCAAAAAAAAAAAAAAAAAUUAUUGUGGCUCCAUUGGAUUGACUAAUUUAUUGACAAGUGACUCCCAAUCUCUAAUAACUGUUCAAGUUUUUGAAUAAUGUUGUUUUAUUUAUUAAUGAUUUCCUAAUGGUUAAUUAAGUUUUUAUAUUAGUAUUUAUAUAAGGUUAAUUUCAUUGAUCUUUCCUAAGAUUUUGGCUAAAUAACAAAUGAGUUGGGUAGGGCCGUAUUUGAUGAAAUUUCAAACCAAUAAGAGCCAAACGUAUUUAAUCAAAACCUCAGGACAGGUGAGUGAAAUCAACCCCAUUUAUACAUAUACAUACAUAUGUAUGUAUGUAUGUCUAUUUAUAAUAUUUGUAACCAUAUUCCAAGUUGGUGCAUAUUUUAUACCUUAGAAUGUUAAUUCACGUAGCGCAUACUGGAAGAAAACUAUUCCAAGUUUCAUAAUUGUUUUAGGCUCCAUUACAAUAGAUAAUUUUUUGACUAGUGACUCUUGAUCUAUAGUAACCAUUCUAGUUUUUGGCUAAUAAAUUGUCAUAGUUAAUAAUGGUUUAUCAAGGUUUUAUACAAGUUUCCACACACCCACACACAUACAUAUGCGUAUCUGUUUAUAAUAUUUUAUCCAUAUUCAACAUUGUUGCAUAUCGUAAACCUUAGAAUGCUAAUUCACUAUUAAAAGGUCCUCCAAUUGUGGCAGUCUACUUGUAAGAGCUGAUUCUUAAAUAUAUGUUUCCACAAUCAUUCCAUACUAUUCUUUGGGUUUAAACUUUAAUUUUAGAUAGGUCUUUAAGAAUAUGUUUGGUUGGCUAGAUAGGAUCAGAUGAGAUAUACAUAUUAUGCCGUAUUUAUGUAAUGCUUAUAUAUAUACAUAGAUAGAUAUUGCAUACCAAUGUUUGCUAUUAAAAAAAUAUGAAAUUGAUCUCAUGUUUAGCAUUAUUUGAAAAUCAUUCUAUAAUCUAUAAUCUAUAAUUUAAUAAAUCAUUUCUUAUUUCUUUGUUAAUAGUAUUCAUGAUUAAAAUAUUUAAAAUUUAUAAAUAAAAAACUAUCACAUUAUGCUUUUAAAUACAUAGUAGCAAUUUGUAUAUAUACUAAAUAAUACUAUAUAUUAGCAUUAUUUUAGGUUGAGUUAUACACAUUUUUUUAAAUUAUACACAUUUUUUUAAUUCUUUUCUUUUUUGAGCUAAAAUUUUAUUUUUUUAAUCAAAAUUUCUUGUUUUGCAAAAUGAGCAACAUAAAAAAAAAAAAUUAAAUGAAGAAAAUUGAUAAAAGAAAUAAAUUUAUGAUCCAUUGGAUAUUUAUAUUCUAAUUCUCAACUUUGAAUUAUAAUAUCCCAUGUAGAGAUGAUAUAAAAAAGGUUAGAUACCUUAUCUCAUCCUUUAUCCCAUUAGCAUUAUUUUAGGUGGUACUCCUUAAGUACUAUCCAGGACAUCAACAAAAUCUACAAAAAGGGCAAUCCGUCUCUACUCAUUGUUCCAAUUUAAAUGUACUUCAUGCAUAUAUGUAAUUUUUUUUUCUAUUUAUUUUUCAAAGUGUAAAGGAAAAGACUUAAAAUACACAACAUGAAAUACAUGAAAAUGGGAAAACAAUACCUGAUAUGGUUUGCAAGUUGAUAACUAUGCCUUGACUCACCGAAACUGUUCCUUGUCUAAAAUCACGCUGAAUUUGGAAAGCCCUUAUACUUGCAGUCGAACCAAUGACCUUUAAUCCAACUUUGGUGAGCUGACUAGUAUUGUAUCAUUUCUACUAUAAAAUCCAGGGCCCUAACCCCAUCUCUAACAUCAUAGAACUGCCAAAACUACUAAUUGAAAAUUUACCUGCAGUUCCUACAUUUUAAUUAAAAAUUAUCUUCAUUUUUCUAAGAAGGGAAUUCACCAAGUUGUUCACAUUUCAUGCCUUUUGAUAUUGAAUUAAUUACUUACAGUUGACUGCUGCUUAAUAUGCUGUAGGUGGAAUUCAUAAUGGAGAUCCUCUCCCGUCUUGUAAGCAAGCAGGUAAACUAUAUAUGAUCCAUUAUGCUGUUUGCAGGUCAAUCAGUGGUUUAUGCUUAUUUAAUUAUUGAUUUUAUGAGCUGCACAGAUAUGGAAAUACCCAAAGUUAUGGGUAGGAUUCUUGAAGUGUGCACUCUUAACAAAGCCUCAGUCUUUCAGUGUGUUGCUGCAGGUGAAAUUCUGUUUGCUAUCAUAAUUUAUGAUUUCUUCUUCUCUUUGGAAAACUUUCAUUUAUGAAAUUUUGGAACAGACACCAACCAUUACUUAUUUUUCUCUGAUUUUUUGGCUAUCCUUUACACUGAAGAAUUAUCUGUUUUUGAACUUGUAUUGAUUUUUCAGCUACCUCCAGCGCAGCUAGAAAAUGCCCUCAAUAGAACAGCAGCACUUAAGGCACCCUUGGUUGCUCAUGCUAUCCAACCGAAUAUUCGGUCUUCACUUCCAAAGUUGGUGCAAAAAUCAGUGUUUGUUAUGGUUGAAAAGAUACUAUCAUUGACCUCUUGACCAAACAGCUUGCUCAUUUUUUAUUGGAUUGGAUGUCCUGUUUUAGGUCUGUAUUGGUAGUACUUGGAAUUACUCCUGAUUCUCAAACUUCAAGUCAGACUCAAACAACUCAGGCUCAAAUAGCUCCACCUCAGACUGGAGAUACAACCAACUUAGAUAAGGAGGUGGUAACAGAAAAAGCUAAAGAAUCAUCUAGUGCCAGCUGAAAUGACAAGUUAAAAAGAGUAUGUUUCUGUUUGUUAGUUAUCUUCCUCCAAACUCCUUUAUUGUCAGAUUUUUUUCUCUUUGUUCUUUUAAUGGGGACUGUUCUUAUUUGUUUUCCUUUUCAUCCUCUUCUUGCCCCAACCCCCUUGUUUCUCUUUUUGUUAGAUGAAUCUGCACUGUAGGUGGGACAUUUCUGGCCCCACCCCUCCAAUGUAAAUGGGUUACUGAGCUCCAAAAGCAAUGGCUUAUCUGUGGCAAACUUCAACUUCGAUGACCUGUUGGGAUGGAAGAGCCAAAGAAGGGAUGGAAUCUACUCGUUUUAUUGCGGUCUCCAUCUGGUGAUAAAAUAAUCUGAUUGCCAUGUAGUUGAAAACUGCCAACCCUUUCUUCACCAAAAAAUAUUUACUGCUUAGGAAAAGUUAGGACUAUGUAGCACUAUGAAAAAAAUGUAAAUUGUGAUUGUCUCAAGGGUUUUUGGGUUUUUCAUUUUUGCCUUUUUUGUUUUUUUUCUGGAGAAAUCACAUGAUGUUAAAAGAAAUGCUAAUAUAGUGUAUUUUUUGGAUGGGCCAUUGAUGGUCUUGGAAAGAACAGUUAUGGAAUAAAUGAGAAAUUGUAAGGGAGGUGGAACUUUCGGUGCAUGCACCCUUUUCCUUUAGUUUCCAAUCGCUUUUGAUGCAUUGGUUGCUGCUUGAUUUUGAUCCAACCCGUAGUCAACUGAAUACAAGUGUAAGACAUUGAAGUAUCCAUACCUGCAGUCUGAUUUCAGUGGUUAAAAAGUUAGCCAGCUUCCGUCUCAAUCUUUGAAGGUGGUGGUUUAUGUUGGUUGUCCGAGCAUCAGUAGCCAAGUGAACUGCUUUUAAGCUCACUCCCCCCAUCAGCGUGAUAAUCCCAACCAAGGUGACUUACUACCAACAGAGAGUUGCAUGUUUAAAUACUCUACCAUUCACUUUUUGGUUCAAGGCUUCAAGGCUCAUCUAUCUAUUUUUAUGUUUUGCAUUGCAUACCUUUCUUUCAAUGAAGAUGGUAUAUAACAUGAUUGACUGACUAAAAUGGUUACAUGAUAAAACCGCAUAAACCCUUUGUCAAUUGGCAGAAAAUAAUUAAUUGCAAAGACAAGUCCUUCAAUGCGUUACAAAUUCAUUAACAUCGAAUGGGGAAACCUAAUUACAAAAGAAUCAGAGUUAAACAAUUCUUGAUAAACUUGAUGUCUGGUUAUACCUCCCAUGGCUAUUGCUCUAAAUGGGAAUGCCAAGGAAAAUAUGAACUCAAUUUAUAGCACCUGCUUACAAGAAGAGACGAGAGGGGUGGUGCUGUGGUGCUCUGCUUCAUACAUGUCUCUGCUGAAGGUGCCAAAAGAAUAAUCAAGGCUCGGAUGGGCGUGACCUUAUCAUUUCAUAUUGUCAGAUUUGAAGCAGGAAUUCCAUGCAUUUGAAACCAAUCGGGCAUAUGGAAUCUCUCAUAAAGUACAGGCCUGACAUCCUUCUGCAGAGAGAGGUGCUUGAGGAGUGGCAGGAGGACCUCCAAAAGCUAUAAAAGCCAUGUGAUAUAACAAAAGCAAAUCAAAAUACAAUCUAAACAUUGUUAAGAGAUGCUUGGUAAUGUUUUCAAGAACAGUGGUCAGAAAACAGUUUUGAAUUGUUUAAGGAAUAAAAUUAUGUUUAGAAACUUAAAUAUGAAAAACCGUUUCUGGGUUUAUUCCUCAAUGCUGUAUACUUAUAUAUAAUUUAAAAGUUUCCAAAGGAUUUAUCUUCAAUUAUUGCUAAGAGCAUUCUACUAAAAAGUGAAAAACAAAAAACACAUCAAAUUGUCCUAAAACAUAGCCUGUGUGUCUUCAGAACAGAUUAUAAGAAAAUUGUUUUCGGUCAAAAGUUUAUCAAAUAUGUUUUUAUAAGUUAUAAAGCAGGUUUUUUUUUUCUUUAUUUAUUUAUUAUGAAGAACAGAAAUUAUACUGAGAACCUACCUGCUUAUCAUUAGGCUGUUCAGCGGAAAAUGGAACGCACGGUAUCCCAUUCAAUGGUUGCAGCAAGAAACUGAAUGGGUUGUUAUCAACAAUAACAAUUCGACGGAGAUCCUUUGAUAAACAAGAUAGAUCCUUCACGUGUUCCCGAUAUUUUCUGUGAUUUACCACGAAGUUAAAUAUUCUCUCAAUGAAACUCAAUCUUGGUGACCAAAACCGAUUCUGUAAAUGUGUAUAGCACUGAAUGGGGAAGUCAAAGUAUAUGUUAGGAGAACCAUUAUGCAUGUAGAGCAUAAUUAACUAAGAUGCUAAUGAUUCUUUUUCUUUGUUAAAGAAAAAAAAAAUGGAAAAAUAGUUCAGAAGAAUGAUGAUUUUUUCAAAUCUUCCCAACUCAUCAAACACUCUCAUAGACAUCCACAACUACAUAUGGAUUCUCUAAAAGACUAUAUUUGAUUGACGGGAUAUAAUAUAAUAUAUAUAUAUAUCCUACAAUUGGAUAAGAAAUACAAAUCCUAGGAUAUGAUUUUCAAUGGGAUUUGAUAUCCUUAGAUAUUGUAUCUAAUACACGUAAUAUAUCCAAUGAGAUUCAUUGUGCUAUGUUAUUUUUAUAUUUAAUGAGUGAAAUGAAUGAAAAAAAAAAUAGUAUAAAAUAUAUAUUAUUUUUCAAUAUUUAAAAUAAAAAUUAUAUUACAUUUCAACAUUUUCUAUUUAAAAAAAUGAAAAUUUUCUUACUUUUAAUAAUCUUCAUAAUUAAAUAUUUAAACUUUAUAAAUAAAAGUUUUUUAUAUUAUUUUAUUUAAUAUAUAUAUAUAUAUAGUGUGUAUUAAAUAAUACAAACAUUAAUAUUAUUUUAUAAUAUAUUUAUAAAUAUUCUUUUAGUUCUUUUUUAACCACAAUUUAAUUUUAUAAUAAAAAGUUUUUAUUUUGAAAAAUAAGUAAUAUAAAAAAAUAAUAAAUAAAUAAAUUUAUGAAACAUGGGAUAUGCAUAUUCUACAUCUUAAUAAAAGAUGAUAUAAAAAAAGUGGAUAUUAUAUCCCAACAUUUAUCCUAUCAUAUGUAAACAUAGGAUGAGUGAUGAAAUAAAUUAUAUAUAUAAUAUUCAUCCUUUUAUCUUAUCCUGUACCAUAUAAGUUAACCAAACAUUGCCUAAGAGUUUCAUAAGGGGAAGAAGAGGGGGACAAUAUAAGGUGAAAAGCACAAGACAGUUGUUCUUGAUAGUAUUUUUGAUGUGGAAUAAGAUGAUCAUGAUACUCAUGAACACUAAUGGCUUCACAUUGUACUUUCUGGAGGAAGUCAAGGGAACAAGUAGGAGGAAAGCUUGGGCACAUGAGCAUAAGUAUUGGACUACCUAUGGCCUAGAACUUGUGAAUAUAAACAAUAAUAGGCCAUCCUACAUGCUGCAGUAUAACAAAGGGAAAAAUAUGUUUCCUGGUUUCUGUUUGAUGUGACUGCCACUGCUAACUGCUCACAAGGUUAACUACCAAAAAGAGACAGGAGUGCAUUUUCGUUCUCAUACAUCUAGCCAUUGAACAGAAAAAAAAACGGAAGUAUCAAUCAAAUCAUGACAGUUCAGUAAUCACUCAAAAAAAUUGUAGGCUUAAUGCAAACUCCAGUAGUAGCUAAUGGGGCAUCAAAGUGCAAUUGGAAAUUCAAUAGGAGAGUACUCACUCAACAAAGUCAAUAGCCCAAUUUCUUGAAGUGAGCAACAUGAACUGUUUUUAGCUAUAUUGGGAGCUAUGCCCUCAAUUAAAUCUUUAGAGACCCACAUUUCUUUUUGGUCUUCCUCCUGUCCAUUUUAGCCUAUCCAGUGGAACAAGAGAUUAAUUGUGACUCCUAAGAAAUGGAAACAACCCACAAUACUUUGUUACAGUUACAUGGGAAGCAGUUCAUCCUACUGGUUUUCCAGCCUAUUGAGAGUUGUAUCAUUAAAAACAAAUUUUAAUCGUUUCCAUGUCACUUUCUUACCGUGGACCCAUAACUGAAACUAACUUGUAAUCCAGUUUUUUUAGUAGGUGAAUCAUGAAUAUGAUAAGUGCAGGUCCAACACUACCUAGAUCAUCAAUCUCAUUUUUUCCUACCUGCAUUAAGUCCUGCAGUAUCUCUCUGUUUUUCUUUCCCCUUUUUGGUUCUAGAGGACUAACUAAUAUUUGCUUGAGUGCAAAAUUCUAGCCCCACUCCAGUCCUUGGACUCCUGCAUCUUAUAGUUCCCACCGUUUGUCUCACAUGGUGUCAUACUUAGGUUUCCCAUCAAUUCAAACCAUAAAGCAUAAUUAGUCUGGCUCUAUCAAAGUCCAUAAAACAUAAUUAGUCUGGCUCUAUCAAAGUUCUUAAUAAAUUGACCCAUGAUACAUAACCAGUCUAACUGUUCAAAGAUCUUUCCUAUUGUAUGAUUAGAAUGUGUCACACAGCAGAUAUCAUUUUGAAGGCAUCUCUCUGCAUCAGUCACCUAGGUCUAUUUCUAUGGAAGCAUUCUCUUCUGAUCCUUGCCCCUAGCAAACAUAACAACUAAAAAAGUUGACAUUUUGAUUGUUUUCUGAACUUCUUUUGCACAUGCACAAUAGAAUUCAUGAAUGUGAAGGCCCAUGCCUUUGCAAGAGAAUUGGAAUAAGGAGCCCCACGCCUUUAUAAGAGAGGUUUUGGAAAAUGAGGCAAUCCUUGCCUGCACUACAUCAAAUUGAUACCAACCAAAAAGUAAAGAUGCUCUGAAAAUUGACUAAUGUGGUUUGUUGUACUCCAGAGUCCAAUUUGUAUGAAGCAUAUUGGUUCAAUAUCCCACCCUCAGCCCAAGUGACUUGGAAUCAGAUUCUAAUAACAACCAAAUAAGUAAAUAAUAAUAUAGAAGCACCUAAAAAGAGAGGAAAAAAUCUCAAGAACAACCUUUCAAACAUGAUUGUUCAAACUCAAACAGAAGAGUACAUUUCACAGUAAGCCAAGACCAUGGAUCAGAAUCAAAUCUUAUCUGGAACCUGAUAAACAAGUUUUCAAACACGAGCAUUCAAAUGCAGACAGUAAAUUUCAUCUCACAUUUUAGCGAAUCAACCACUAAGGCUUGUCCAGAUAAUUUUUUCACAUUUUAGGAUCACCAGUCCCAAAGAGGACAGAAUCUUUCUUUUGUUUUUUUAUCUGUGCUUGUGCUUCUGAUUUCCUUGGGCUCCAUGCCUCAGAUUUUUGUAACGCUUGGUGCAUUUGUCUACUCUUCAUAGGACAUUUUGGUACUUCUACAUUUCGCUUGUUUUUCUCUUUUUUUUUUUUCUUUUUCAGUAAGAAGUUUUACUAAUAACUACUAUCUCAGAUAUUUACAACCAAUUGAACCAUUUAUAAACAAAUAUGACCCUAUUUGACAACUCUACUAAGAUGUAUAUGUCUUUUCUAUUAAAGGAAUUACAGUAAGAAGCAAUAAUGUCAGCAGGUGAAUUCAUCUUUCCACAUACAUUAAUAUCUUUCCAUUACCUAAGGUUUGUAGCACCUCAAACUAUUCUCUUAAAUACUCUACUGAACACCAAAGAGCUCUAGCACUUUCAAGCUAUCCUUACCAUUGGAUGAAUCACUGGCAACAGUACCUUCUUUAGACUCUUUGAAUCUGCCACUCCCAAGCAAAUAGAAUAGCAUCAGGUUCACAUGACAAGCUUCCUUUUUCAUUUGCUAACAAUAUUCACUUUUAUCCAUCCCUAAUAGUUUCCUUCUUAAGUUACAGUAAUAGUAACUAAUAAAAAAUGGAUUUUUAUACUUGGUGUAUAUUAUUAGAUACCCUUUGUGUUUACUUAUUAGGGGGCAGUUCAUCUUGUUGUUUCAGGGGACAAUGGUUGUACUUAAAGUAAAGCGGCACCAACAAUCUUUCAUUUUCUUAUUCUUUCCUUUCCAUUUUUGAAACACCCCUUGCAAAAAUAGAACAAAAACUUUCAUCCUUCACCCAGUUAGUUCUUCCUCUGGCAUCUCUACUUCUUUCUUCUGUUCAAUUGUCUUUUUAUUUUAUCUUCUCAUUUUUAUUUGUUCUACACCCUUAUUUACCAGCAAGGUAACAUUUUUCUUUCUGUUAGAUCACAAUCCCAAGUUUUCCUUUCAGUUAAAACCUGACGGUUGGUUGCAAAAAAAAUCAGCAAAUCAGCAAAUACUUUCUCACAGAGCACGUGCAAAAAUAAAAAAUUAAAAACAAUAAAGAAACAUGUAUUUGAGCACAACAUUAUUUAUAUAGCUUAGUGCAUAUAACAAUAUAUUAAACAAAAGGUCCUGCACAUGUUUGACCAAAUUAAUCUAUAAUGCUACUGCAUAAGAUUGGGGUAUUAAAUAUCCAACAUUAUCUUCCUUUACAAUCCAAAGUUUUUUCACCAUUUUUUGUUCAGCCAAUUUGCAUGAUAUUUGAAUAAAUAGAGGAUCAUUAUAAGAAAUUGAUUUCGUAAUUCUUGCCCAAAUUCCACCAUUGAAUUCUUUUACCUCACUUUAUUUGACAGUAAUGAAAUCUUGCUAUUUCUGAAUAGGAAUCAUUCAGAUCUGUGCUGUUUGGUCCGGCUAUGCAUCAACUAUGCAUUAGUUGAUACAUAAUAGCAUCAACAACACAAGCAACAUGAAAUGUAAGACAUCAAUUUAUCAUUGUCAAAUUAAGAUGACUCAUCAAAGAGUCUUAGAAAAGAAAAACUCUUUUGUCAAACUACCAUAUGAACCUACCAAUGAUAACACCUCCUGGUUGAUACACCUCAGUAUCACUGAUAGAUAGUCUUUACCAUGUUGAACCAUGCUUACCACAUUUCAAAUGUCACUCAUACAAUUGAAGCAGUUUUCGGACUAGAACUCUCUUGCAUAGCACAUUUGUUUGCCCUAGUAUCCUCAUUAGAAAAUAAAUUUUCACAAAUAAAAUAAAAUGUAUUCAGAUCUUAUCCAACAGGUAAUUAUUGUUGAAUAGAAGCAACACUUACGUGCUAACUGUUGAAGGCCGAUAAAGCCGUUUACUAAAUCUGUUUCCCGCAUCAAUUUUGUCAACAAGAGGUCUAGCAUAACCUGCUUGGUAUGCAAAAGCAUAAAUCAUACAAUAAAAUAAAGCAAUCAAGCAAAGGUCUGGAAAUAGAGAAAUAACAUGAAAACCUUCAAGAGCAGCAGUGAAAAGAACAAGUUCUGCAAAUUCACUGAUCUGUUCUAAGAAUUCUUGUAAACCAGGUCGUUCAAACACUGUUACGUAACUGAUAUUUGGUUUUCCUUCACAUUCCUGCAACCCAACAAGUAACGUUAAUCAUUCAGCAAGAAACAAGUUAAGAAAGCAGGGGAGGGGGAGGUAGGGAGGGAGGGAUGGGAAGAGAGAGAGAGACCUUGUCUGAAGAUACACAUUCCAACUCAAACCACUUCAGUCCAGCUUCUAUUGCCUGGGUGCGUAAAUGGGCAGGCAAGCUAGAGGUUUCAUAUGCACAUACCAGAGUCUCAUCCAAGUCAAGAACAACCUGCAUGCCAAAAACCAUAUUAACCCUGUUAACUUGGAUAGAGAAUUAGCUUGUCCUAUACAGCCAACAAGAUACAUCUUGCAGCAAACAUAUGUUUGAGCAUUGAUUACCCUAUACAUAAAUCUGGAACUUUUUUUAUUGACAAAUGAAAUUCAUCAAAAGAUACCAAAGGAUUGUAACAGAGUACAUAAAUAGUAUAAAGAUUGCACCUAAAGGAUGGGAAAAAGAAAAAUACAAGUAUAUAAAAGAAAAGCAUUAAGUGAUCACUAUGAUCUACAUAAAGUAAAAGAUAAAAAAAUAGAAAACAAAAAGGUAUGAGCAAACCACUAGAAUCCCAUGGCACCCAAAAAAAGAGCAACCUCCACAACACCUUCUACUUCUUCAAAAUAUGAGCUCCUUACCAUCAAAUGUGUGCCAAUUCUCCCCUACUAAACAUACUAUGGAAAGAAUGACAUUAGGAAAGCCAUGGCUAUAUAAUUUUUUAAUUGAGGAGAAAAUUAGGCAAUCUCAUAAUCAAAGGGAUCUGAUAUAAUUGGGUUAGGAAAGUUUUUAUUUUUUGUGUUAGGAAUUUUUGUAUGUAUAUGGGUCUUUGUAUGGACUUAAUAUCAAGGAAGAAUUUUAUACCUUUGAUUCCUCCCCAUCCCUCUUCUUCUACAUGGUAUAAGAGCAUCAAACUCUUAAAUUUGGGAAGAAAAGGAUUUUUUUUUUCAACCUUCAUUGCCGAGUUGAAGAUCAUAGUCGACCUUCAUUGUCGACCUUAAGGUUUCCUUCUCGUCUGAGUUGCACCAUUGCUGCAAACACAACCUCGUACUAAUGCUGCAAACCCAUAUCACAAACUUGACAAUCGGAGACCUCAGCCAUCGUCCUCAUGCUAUUGUCCUCACACCAACAUCCUUGUGAACUCAUCACGAAAUUGAGAUCGUGCCUCCGGCUUCACACCAAUACAAAUCUUCCUUCUCACAAGCCCCACGCUCCUUGCAGUCAGAUUCGGUAGUGCUCUUGCAAGCCCUAGCUGCCUCGACUUUGCUCGUCUUCUUUGACAUCGUUAAUCUCUCUCUCAAGUUUUCUGAGCCUCUACCAGCAACGGCAAUCCUCCUUGUGUUGUCAAAAACAACAGAGGAUCAUGUCAUCCAACAAUUCUCUACGACUUCCCUUCAUCGCCAACAAAAUCACGAGCUUUGAAGUCUUUAACCACCACAAACUAUCGCCGACAGCUAAGUU